GACGAACGCUGGCGGCGUGCUUAACACAUGCAAGUCGAACGGAAAGGCCCUGCUUUUGUGGGGUGCUCGAGUGGCGAACGGGUGAGUAACACGUGAGUAACCUGCCCUUGACUUUGGGAUAACUUCGGGAAACUGGGGCUAAUACCGGAUAGGAGCUCCUGCUGCAUGGUGGGGGUUGGAAAGUUUCGGCGGUUGGGGAUGGACUCGCGGCUUAUCAGCUUGUUGGUGGGGUAGUGGCUUACCAAGGCUUUGAAGGGUAGCCGGCCUGAGAGGGUGACCGGCCACAUUGGGACUGAGAUACGGCCCAGACUCCUACGGGAGGCAGCAGUGGGGAAUAUUGCACAAUGGGCGGAAGCCUGAUGCAGCAACGCCGCGUGCGGGAUGACGGCCUUCGGGUUGUAAACCGCUUUCGCCUGUGACGAAGCGUGAGUGACGGUAAUGGGUAAAGAAGCACCGGCUAACUACGUG
rnacentral:rRNA from 1 species